UACGUAGGGUGCAAGCGUUGUCCGGAAUUAUUGGGCGUAAAGAGCUCGUAGGCGGUCUGUCGCGUCUGCUGUGAAAACUCAGGGCUUAACCCUGAGCUUGCAGUGGGUACGGGGCAGACUAGAGUGCGGUAGGGGAGACUGGAAUUCCGUGGUGUAGCGGUGAAAUGCGCAGAUAUCAGGAGGAACACCGGUGGCGAAGGCGGGGUCUCUGGGCCGGUAACUGACGC
rnacentral:rRNA from 1 species